AGGAGAGAAUUUUCUAUACAUUUAUAAGCGUUGUUUUCUAUUCGGCUGAGCGAAGCGAAAGAGAAUAGAAAGCUUCUCUGUCACAAAAAUGCAAAAAAACAUUGAAAUAGGAAUAACGGAAUCUCACCCGUUUGGAAAUAAAAUAUGCACCAUGUUUGAGGGAUGUUCAAAAGUAGACGCAUCCCAGACGAUUAUGUUUUUGUAGUCAACGUGACGAUGCUAACAUAGAGGAAUGCCUUUGUUAUCCACAUCACAAACCAAGACUACUUUAGGUAAUGGAAUAAAUCACAGGGGGCCGAAGGGGUUUAAAUCACAGAGCAGCUUUCGCGGUUUUCACUCAGUACUUGAAGAAAGUGGUAAUUUGUCAUCAUACUGUGAUCUACCACAAGUUCCAACGAAAAGUAUAGACAGUAAACGUACGUACGACAAUGUACUCCAAUCUUCAACUGUCCCUGCUGAUUAUAAUUCUGGCAACCAUUACAACGCAAGGUGCGCACCCAGAAUCCCAACAGAAGAGUGAAAAACAUGUUCUUGCCAAACGCAGGGUUUGUCUUGGGCCUAUUGCGGAUUGCAUCAACAAAAAAUAAGCCUUGUCCAUCAGGCAAGGUGGAAUGUCCUGGUUUUUCUUGUAACCGGCUUAAAGACAGAUGUUGCUGUACCUAGUAUCGAUGGAGGCAAUGAUGUCUGUCUCUCUAGAUAAAAUGAUGGAUUGACUUCAGAAACGACAUGGUUAACUGACACUAAACUAAUAAUAAACGCUGAAGUAAUUUGAUUAACUUAAGGUAUUUCAAAGGCAGGACUUAUAUGAAUAAUGUAAAAAGAAAAAGAUAGAUGAAGGCUGGGUCAUUCAAAUAUGUUUCGUUUAUCUCUACACUAUCAGUAAUGUUAGAAUUGAAAACAAGAAUGUUGGUUUUUCGGAAAGAAUUUCCUCGGCCAAACUAUGACGCGGAAACAUUAAAAACAAAUCGAAAUAUGACGUGGCACUCCAAGUCCAUUCUGACUACACUCACACGAGACAUUCCAUGUGAAAAGUUUAUUGAGGAUGUGUCAGUCAGCCGUCAGAUUCAAUGUAUCCUAAUGUUCACCUCACAAAUUUAACUAAUGAUU